rnacentral:rRNA from 1 species
UACGGAGGGUGCGAGCGUUGUCCGGAAUCAUUGGGCGUAAAGGGCGCGUAGGUGGCCCGGUCAGUCGAUGGUGAAAGCGCGGGGCUCAACUCCGCGUCGGCCGUCGAUACUGCUGGGCUUGAGCACUGUAGAGGCAGGCGGAAUUCCGGGUGUAGCGGUGGAAUGCGUAGAGAUCGGGAAGAACAUCAGUGGCGAAGGCGGCCUGCUGGGCUGUUGCUGACGCUGAGGCGCGACAGCGUGGGGAGCAAACAGG